UAACGCGUGGGUAACCUGCCUUAUACAGGGGGAUAACAGUCAGAAAUGGCUGCUAAUACCGCAUAAGCGCACAGAGCUGCAUGGCUCAGUGUGAAAAACUCCAGUGGUAUAAGAUGGACCCGCGUUGGAUUAGCUUGUUGGUGGGGUAACGGCCCACCAAGGCGACGAUCCAUAGCCGGCCUGAGAGGGUGAACGGCCACAUUGGGACUGAGACACGGCCCAG
rnacentral:rRNA from 1 species